rnacentral:lncRNA from 1 species
UGCAGAUCAUAUUUAAAUCACAGUACUGUCAUAGAUCAAUAUUCCUCUUUGAUGAUAGGAAACGUGACAGUACUUGCACCUAGGAAAUCUGUACAUAAGAUGUGUAUAAUUUAUCUAAAAUCUUUGUCUUCAGAGAGAUGGAACAGCUUCACUUCAAUAGCUGCUGAAAAUUCCCUCAUUGUUAUCAUGUGUUCUCUGUGACUGCAGUGUAUGAUAACAAUUCAUUUUAAGAAACACCUCCUGAAUUCAAAGUGAUUCCAAUACAAAUAUUAUAAACCAGGUUCACAGAGAUUAAAAUAAUUUUUCAUAUACAGCCAGUAAUCUCUUAUUUUGACUAAAAACUUACUUGGUUUCUAUUUUUCCCUAAAAUUGGAAAAUAGAUAUCCUGUUUUCCUCUUGGUUUACAAAGAAAACUCAGUGUCGAGGGAGCUGAAGACUGGGAUGUGCUGGACUAAUAUAAAUUUAACCAAAGCCAAGAAUGCCCCUGGUUUGGCUCUGAAAAGAGUACUAAGCAGCCAAGGACAUUUGGAUAGCCAAAUCCAACCCAGUGCGGUACUCACAGUGCCAUCAAUGUGCUUUCAAAAGAAGGAAAAAAAGCAGAAAAUACAACGUUGGUCUAUAGUAUUUAUAGAAAUAUCUGCUGUUAUUUGGUGUCAGAGGUCAUGGACCAUCAUCCAUCCUGUAAGUUGGAUCAUUUAGGUAAGGUAUAUUAGAAGUCUUGGUAUGCUUUAGAAAGGAAAUGAUAAUACAUUUCCUUUCAUUUCCUAUGCAUUUCUGCAUUAUAAAAAUGCAUUUUAUACAUUUCCU